UACGAAGGGUGCAAACGUUGCUCGGAAUCAUUGGGCGUAAAGCGCACGUAGGCGGCCUGUUAAGUCGGAUGUGAAAUCCCUCGGCUCAACCGAGGACGUGCAUUCGAAACUGGCAAGCUCGAGUAUGGAAGAGGGUCGCGGAAUUCCCGGUGUAGAGGUGAAAUUCGUAGAUAUCGGGAGGAACACCAGUGGCGAAGGCGGCGACCUGGGCCAAUCUGACGCUGAGGUGCGAAAGCGUGGGGAGCGAACAGG
rnacentral:rRNA from 1 species